rfam:Felis catus isolate Cinnamon breed Abyssinian chromosome B2, whole genome shotgun sequence.
GCUUGGGUGGCUCAGUCACUUAAGCAUCUGACUUCUGCUCAGGUCAUGAUCUCUGGUUUGUGGGUUCGAGCCCCGCAUCAGGCU